rnacentral:rRNA from 1 species
UACGUAGGGGGCGAGCGUUGUCCGGAAUUAUUGGGCGUAAAGAGCGUGUAGGCGGCUUGGUAAGUCUGUCGUGAAAUGCUGGGGCUCAACCCUGGACGUGCGUUGGAUACUGCUUGGCUAGAGGAUGGUAGAGGCGAGUGGAAUUCCCGGUGUAGCGGUGAAAUGCGCAGAUAUCGGGAGGAACAUCAGUGGCGAAGGCGGCUCGCUGGGCCAUUCCUGACGCUCAGACGCGAAAGCAUGGGGAGCAAACAGG